ACCAGGACUUCGGUCCUGGGGACAGCGGCGAACGGGUGAGUAACACGUGGAUAACCUGCCCUCGGCACCGGGAUAGCCCGAGGAAACUCGGAUUAAUACCGGAUAGCCCUUCCGACUCUCGAGUCGGUCCGAAAAGGUAGCUUCGGCCUCUGGCCGAGGAUGGGUCCGCGGCGGAUUAGCUUGUUGGUGGGGUAACGGCCUACCAAGGCUCCGAUCCGUAGCUGGUCUGAGAGGACGAUCAGCCACACUGGGACUGAGACACGGCCCAGACUCCUACGGGAGGCAGCAGUGGGGAAUCUUGCGCAAUGGGCGAAAGCCUGACGCAGCGACGCCGCGUGAGGGAAGAAGGCCUUCGGG
rnacentral:rRNA from 1 species